rnacentral:rRNA from 1 species
CGCGUGCACUGGUCCGGCCGGGCCUUUCCUUCUGUGGAACCCCAUGCCCUUCACUGGGUGUGGCGGGGAAACAGGACUUUUACUUUGAAAAAAUUAGAGUGCUCCAGGCAGGCCUAUGCUCGAAUACAUUAGCAUGGAAUAAUAAAAUAGGACGUGUGGUUCUAUUUUGCUGGUUUCUAGGACCGCCGUAAUGAUUAAUAGGGACAGUCGGGGGCAUCAGUAUUCAGUUGUCAGAGGUGAAAUUCUUAGAUCUACUGAAGACUAACUACUGCGAAAGCAUUUGCCAAGGAUGUUUUCAUUAAUCAGGAACGAAAGUUAGGGGAUCGAAGACGAUCAGAUACCGUCGUAGUCUUAACCAUAAACUAUGCCGACUAGGGAUCGGACGAUGUUAUUUUUUGACUCGUCCGGCACCUUACGAGAAAUCAAAGUGCUUGGGCUCCAGGGGGAGUAUGGUCGCAAGGCUGAAACUUAAAGAAAUUGACGGAAGGGCACCACCAGGGGUGGAGCCUGCGGCUUAAUUUGACUCAACACAGGGAAACUCACCAGGUCCAGACACAAUAAGGAUUGACAGAUUGAGAGCUCUUUCUUGAUUUUGUGGGUGGUGGUGCAUGGCCGUUCUUAGUUGGUGGAGUGAUUUGUCUGCUUAAUUGCGAUAACGAACGAGACCUUAACCUGCUAACUAGCCCGUAUUGCUCAGGCAGUACGCCGGCUUCUUAGAGGGACUAUCGG